AAGUCGUAACAAGGUCUCCGUAGGUGAACCUGCGGAGGGAUCAUUACCGAGUUCGUGCCCCGCAGCGGGGUAGAUCUCCCACCCUUGUGUAUCUUCGUACCGUUCUGUUGCUUUGGCAGGCCGCUCAGGCUGCGGCUCGACCACCGGCUCCCCCUAGGGGGGCGGGUGUGCGCCUGCCAGAGGACCCCCCCAACUCUUGUUUGUCAGUGUCGUCUGAGUACUACAACCAAUCGUUAAAACUUUCAACAACGGAUCUCUUGGUUCUG
rnacentral:misc_RNA from 1 species